AUGAUGAUAAGGGGAGAGACUGUAGCAAUUUUAGUGUUGACAGCGCCGAAGGAGCAAACGAGUUCGUGAAUCUCUCAGGCAAAAAGACUCUUAUUUGACG
rnacentral:ncRNA from 1 species